UUCAAUACCAGAAGACUAUUAGGAGGAUCAAAUAAGACAAAGACCAUGAAACCACUUUAUAACAAAUGUUAAGUUAUACAAAAGGAAUUGAGAAUGAACCCAGAGCUGUUUACUAGCUGAUCAACCCUAGGAGACACUGGGUGAGCUUUUCAGACCUUGCUAAAACAGCAGGAAAUUCUCAACAAGGGGAAGAAGCCCUGUUCCUGGAUGCAGUGGUGCAGCAGCAGC